rnacentral:rRNA from 1 species
UACGUAGGGUGCAAGCGUUGUCCGGAAUUAUUGGGCGUAAAGAGCUCGUAGGCGGUUUGUCGCGUCUGCUGUGAAAACUCGGGGCUUAACUCCGGGCCUGCAGUGGGUACGGGCAGACUAGAGUGCGGUAGGGGAGACUGGAAUUCCUGGUGUAGCGGUGAAAUGCGUAGAUAUCGGAAGGAACACCUGUGGCGAAAGCGGCUCACUGGACCAUUACUGACACUGAGGCACGAAAGCUAGGGGAGCAAACAGG